rnacentral:misc_RNA from 1 species
GCUUUCUUCCUUCCUUCCUGGGAUCUCUUCUAUAAUGAAUAAAACGCCCCUGUGGCCGUAGGGAUCCAACCCACUACCACCAUGUUUGCUUUUACAGCUUACUUAGCGUCCCUGUGAGCUUUAUUACCAUAACCAUAUGCUACCAUGUUACUGGUUUUCAGCUCUUGCUCUGUUUCUUCCAAUUCAGUAAAUCUCUUUUCUUGUUAUAAAUGCAUUAUUUCACCCUUUGUUUUUCACCGUCACCAACUGUUUGAUAAAAUUCCUCAACCAUUUAAAAGUUAGAGAACCUACCAUAACAAGAAGCCUUUCCUUUUUCGUGGUGUUCUUUUUGGACAUUUUGAACCCUUAAAUGCGAUAAUUGCUUCUCUUACUUUUAUUGCCUUCCAAUGUUAUCGUUGAACAUGUAGCGGUUCAAAGAAUUGCUUUUUACAUACCCUUGUGAUUGGAAAGAGUUUGCUGGGUGGUGGCUGUACUUCAGCUACAUGUCUCACUUGUGGUUUCGAUCUCUUUCAGCCCAAAAGAGGCAUUUUUGUGCAGGAAUCUUAUGCAAAAGCAACAUUGGCUGCUCACUGUCGAAGAGAGUAAAUUACUCUAUCCCAACAUUCCACAGGGAGUGUAACCCUGUAAAUUCAUUGAAAUUGUCUGCUCAGUUCAACACUCCCUUAAGAUCGCUGCUAAAUAAUGCUAGUGCUAUAAAAGAUGAUAGAAUUGUCCCACCAAGCAGGAACUUUUGUCAGUUAAUUGCAAGAUGGCAACUUCCUUUGGCAUUUUCUUCAGCAGCUCGAAAUGAAAUGUCAGAUUUGGAUUCUGGUUUGGAUGAUGAUGUAAUGUGUAGUGAUUUGCAGCACGCUGAUUUAGAUUCUGGGGAUAUUGGUAUUACAAAGAAAGAAAAGGUCGUGUAUGAAAAACCAAUUGACUUUACCAAAGUUGACAUUAAUUUGCUUCCAACUGUCAUUAUUGUCGGGCGUCCAAAUGUGGGAAAAUCAGCCCUGUUCAACCGGUUGAUUCGAAGGAGGGAGGCUCUUGUGUACAAUACACCAGAUGAUCAUGUUACUCGAGACAUAAGAGAAGGAAUUGCUAAAUUGGGUGAUCUGAGGUUUCGAGUUUUGGACUCAGCUGGCCUUGAAACAGAAGCAACUUCAGGGUCUAUCCUUCAGAGAACGACGAACAUGACUGCAAAUGUGCUAGCAAAGAUUCAAUUUGUAGUACUCCUGAUAGAUGUGAGAGCUGGACUACACCCUUUGGAUUUGGAGGUUGGAAAGUGGUUGCGAAGAAAUGCACCUGGAGUCACUCCUAUAGUUGCAAUGAAUAAAUCUGAAUCACUUUGUGAUGGUACUGGUUCUAUUACGGAUGCUGCUGAUGAAGCACGUAUGCUAGGAUUUGGAGAUCCUAUUGCCAUAUCUGCUGAGACAGGGCUGGGUAUGACAGCACUUUAUGAUUCUCUUCGGCCUUUGCUUGAGGAUUAUAUGCUCAAAGUCCUGAACAGUAAUUGUAAUCAACCAAAUAGCAAUUGUGAUAGCCAUGAUGACAACCAUGGUGAGGUUGAGGAGUUGUCUAAGUUGCCACUGCAGUUAGCUAUUGUAGGGCGGCCCAAUGUUGGAAAGUCAACCUUGCUGAAUACAUUGUUACAAGAAGAACGUGUGCUGGUGGGUCCAGAGGUUGGUUUGACCAGAGAUUCUAUUAGAGCUCAUUUCCAUUUUCAAGGGAGAACCAUAUAUCUGGUUGACACUGCAGGUUGGUUGCACAGGACAGGUCAGGAUAAAGGACCAUCAUCAUUGAGCAUAGUGCAAUCAAGAAAGAAUCUGAUGAGGGCUCAUGUAGUUGCUUUGGUACUUGAUGCAGAAGAGAUUGCAAAAGCUAGACGUAGUAUGACUCAUGCUGAAGUGGUUAUAGCAAGAAGGGCUGUGGAAGAAGGACGUGGAUUGGUUGUUAUUGUGAACAAGAUGGAUCUUCUAAGAGGGAAACAAAAUUCAAAGUUAUAUCAGAAGUUCAUUGAAGCUGUUCCUUUAGAAAUUCAGACAGUCAUACCGCAGGUUUCAGGAAUACCAGUUGUAUUUAUUUCAGCAUUAGAGGGCAGAGGCAGGAUAGCUGUCAUGCGUCAGGUCAUCGAUACAUAUGAAAAAUGGUGCUUAAGAUUACCCACAGCUCGGCUGAACAGAUGGUUGCGCAAGGUUAUGAGCAGACACUCUUGGAAAGACCAGGCUGCACAACCCAAGAUCAAGUACUUCACCCAGGUGAAGGCCCGUCCACCAACUUUUGUUGCCUUCACAAGUGGGAAGACACAACUUUCAGAUACAGAUCUCCGGUUCUUAACGAAGUCAUUGAAGGAAGACUUUGACUUGGGUGGAAUUCCCAUCCGCAUCAUGCAGCGAUGUAUUCCUGGAAAAAUCGGGGGUAGUGGCAGCAAGAGCAAUCAAUCUGCAGUGAGGAUGGAGGAAAGAAUAUUUUCUGACAAGAGAACUACUGCUGCAUAACACAACGAUUUUAGCUUCUAUGUUCAUUUCGCAUUUUUUCCUCGAGUAAAAGCUUGGUCAGAUGUUGAGUGAUAAUUCUGUGGUGGUGGUUGCUAGGGUAGUCUUAGAUUUCUCAUUUAUAGCCAAAAGAUAUGUAUUAACAAGAUGUAAAUUAAGGAAUGCGUCUAACAUUGGGUUGCAAUAGAAGCAAUACAAAAUUUGUAGGACACAAAAGCUGCCUUUAUUUAUUUUUUGGUACUUUAGAAAUUCAUUCUUAAAAGGCUUCUUUUGAUGUAAAUCAAAUGAAUUCUCAGACAAUCAUGCAAGAUUUCCAUUUCCU